ensembl:lncRNA
GAGCAGGAAGGAGGGAAGGAGGGAGUCAACAGCCCAGAGCCCAGCCGACUGAUGGAGCAGGAAGGAGGGAAGGAGGGAGUCAACAGCCCAGAGCCACUGACUGGAGCAGGAAGGAGGGAAGGAGGGAGUCAACAGCCCAGAGCCCAGCCGACUGAUGGAGCAGGAAGGAGGGAAGGAGGGAGUCAACAGCCCAGAGCCCAGCCGACUGAUGGAGCAGGAAGGAGGGAAGGAGGGAGUCAACAGCCCAGAGCCCAGCCGACUGAUGGAGCAGGGAAGGAGGGAAGGAGGGAGUCAACAGCCCAGAGCCCAGCCGACUGACGGUGCAGGAAGGAGGGAAGGAGGGAGUCAACAGCCCAGAGCCCAGCCGACUGACGGAGCAGGAAGGAGGGAAGGAGGGAGUCAACAGCCCAGAGCCCAGCCGACUGAUGGAGCAGAGAAGGAGGGAAGGAGAGAGUCAACAGCCCAGAGCCCAGCCGACUGAUGGAGCAGGAAGGAGGGAAGGAGAGAGUCAACAGCCCAGAGCCCAGCCGACUGAUGGAGCAGGAAGGAGGGAAGGAGAGAGUCAACAGCCCAGAGCCCAGCCGACUGAUGGAGCAGGAAGGAGGGAAGGAGAGAGUCAACAGCCCAGAGCCCAGCCGACUGAUGGAGCAGAGAAGGAGGAAGGAGAGAAGUCAACAGCCCAGAGCCCAGCCGACUGAUGGAGCAGAGAAGGAGGGAAGGAGAGAGUCAACAGCCCAGAGCCCAGCCGACUGAUGGAGCAGGAAGGAGGGAAGGAGGAAGUCAACAGCCCAGAGCCCAGCCGACUGAUGGAGCAGAGAAGGAGGGAAGGAGAGAGUCAACAGCCCAGAGCCCAGCCGACUGAUGGAGCAGGAAGGAGGGAAGGAGAGAGUCAACAGCCCAGAGCCCAGCCGACUGAUGGAGCAGAGAAGGAGGGAGUCAACAGCCCAGA